rnacentral:rRNA from 1 species
CGGGUGAGUAACACGUAUCCAACCUGCCGUCUACUCUUGGCCAGCCUUCUGAAAGGAAGAUUAAUCCAGGAUGGGAUCAUGAGUUCACAUGUCCGCAUGAUUAAAGGUAUUUUCCGGUAGACGAUGGGGAUGCGUUCCAUUAGAUAGUAGGCGGGAUAACGGCCCACCUAGUCAACGAUGGAUAGGGGUUCUGAGAGGAAGGUCCCCCACAUUGGAACUGAGACACGGUCCAA